AACGAACGCUGGCGGCAUGCCUAACACAUGCAAGUCGAACGAGACCUUCGGGUCUAGUGGCGCACGGGUGCGUAACGCGUGGGAACCUGCCCUUAGGUUCGGAAUAACUCCCCGAAAGGGGUGCUAAUACCGGAUAAUGUCUUCGGACCAAAGAUUUAUCGCCUUUGGAUGGGCCCGCGUUGGAUUAGCUAGUUGGUAGGGUAAAAGCCUACCAAGGCGACGAUCCAUAGCUGGUCUGAGAGGAUGAUCAGCCACACUGGGACUGAGACACGGCCCAGACUCCUACGGGAGGCAGCAGUGGGGAAUAUUGGACAAUGGGCGAAAGCCUGAUCCAGCAAUGCCGCGUGAGUGAUGAAGGGCUUAGGGUUGUAAAGCUCUUUUACCCGGGAUGAUAAUGACGGUACCGGGAGAAUAAGCUCCGGCUAACUACGUG
rnacentral:rRNA from 1 species